AUUGAACGCUGGCGGCAUGCCUUACACAUGCAAGUCGAACGGUAACGGGCCUUCGGGUGCCGACGAGUGGCGCACGGGUGAGUAAUACAUCGGAACGUGCCCGAUCGUGGGGGAUAACGAGGCGAAAGCUUUGCUAAUACCGCAUACGAUCUACGGAUGAAAGCAGGGGACCGCAAGGCCUUGCGCGGACGGAGCGGCCGAUGGCAGAUUGGGUAGUUGGUGGGAUAAAAGCUUACCAAGCCGACGAUCUGUAGCUGGUCUGAGAGGAUGAUCAGCCACACUGGGACUGAGACACGGCCCAGACUCCUACGGGAGGCAGCAGUGGGGAAUUUUGGACAAUGGGCGCAAGCCUGAUCCAGCCAUGCCGCGUGCAGGAUGAAGGCCUUCGGGUUGUAAACUGCUUUUGUACGGAACGAAAAGCCUUCUUUUAAUACAGGAGGGUCAUGACGGUACCGUAAGAAUAAGCACCGGCUAACUACGUG
rnacentral:rRNA from 1 species